rnacentral:pre_miRNA from 1 species
ACAGGAAUUGCAUAGGGAUCUUGUUAAAAUGUGGAUCUUGAUUUAGUAGGUGAGGAAUGGGCCUGAGAUUCUGCAUUUCUAACAAGCUCCCAGGAAAUUGUUAA